rnacentral:lncRNA from 1 species
AUAAAUAUUUGUUAAUUAUUUUUUAAUUACAUGUGUUACCUGGGUCUGUGUAUUGUUCCUUUGACCAAGUUAUUUAUGAAUUUUGACAGUUAUUAUGUUUAUGUAAAAAAUAUUAAGGAAUAUUUUAGUCUAAAAUCAUUAGAUGCAUGUUUUAGAAAAGAGCUAAAUUGAUGAGAAAAUUGAAAUUUUCAAGAAACAAUGUCCUAAAUAUUAUGAAUUUUAUAUGUUAUUAAUAUCUUUACAUUCGACUAAUUAUUAAUUUAUACUUUAAUUGAACCUAAAGGAUUUGAAAAAAAAUAUUAUCUUAUACAUUUAGCUAGAUUAUUAAUUUAGUACAUGUCUAACCUAAAUCAAGACCCAAAUAUUUUAUUAUUUGUUCAAGAUUAUUGAUUUAUGGAGCAUUCAUUUAUCAAAAUUUUACCGUAACCCAAAAAAAAAAAAGACGGCAUUGUCAAUGUGAUAAAUACAAAGAGUAUUUUCUUAUGGAGUGGGCUUCAUCCCUUGGUAUACCACUGGAUGGCAAUGCAAAUCACCAAGGAAUCGACUUACAUUACAUGGUUUGAAUUUCAUGCCCGUAAUUAUGAUUUCACAUAUUUGCUUCUCUGUACGCAAUUAUUAUUGCUGCAUCCACCAAUGGAAAUGCUCGUCAAUGGCUUGCAUUAUCGUAGGAAAUAGGUGUGUGUGUGUAUGUGUGUGUCUGUGUGCUCGUGUAUAUUCACACUUCUACACAAUAAAUGUGGAGGAAAGAAUUAGGAUUAACGGUUGAGAUGAUCUCUCUUAUAAGCUUUCAAAAUUUGUAUGCUCUGCAUUUAUUAGUGAUUAUGUAUGGUUUAGAUUUAAUUAAAUAUUUUUUUACAUGUUCUAUCUUAAUCACCCACUCAUAUUUUAUUUAGAAAAAAACUGAGAGAAAUCUGAUCCUCCGAGAAUACCAAAUCCGAUGGCAACAUUCAAGGUUUUGUAUUGAACCAUUGAUAUCUGGUAUUGAAGUUUUUGUUCCCCAAUUUCAUUUCAAGCCAAUGCUCCAAGCUAUAAAUAAUAUAUAUCCUUUUGCUUGUGGAUUUGAGCCACAGAUUGGAUCACUUACAGGCCCAAAAAGUCUUCUCCUAUGAAAGUUGCGAUGCUUAUAUGUUGUUUAUAGUAGUAUCACAGGCUUCCCUCCCUCGCUCCCUCCCUCUAUUUUUAAUACAAUUUCUUCUCUUCAAUUUGAAUUCAAUUAAUUGAGCUAAGCAGUAAAUAUUAAAGUGAAUUAAUGCGAACGGUGGUCUACAGUCUACUUUAUCUUUGGGGACUGGGGUUGCUUUUAUGAAUUCGCGACAAUUUAUAAAGAUUUCUUAUCACGUGCCGCUAGCAUGCAUCAAUUGGUAGAGUAGUAUUAGACAUCCAAAAUUUUUAUCUUAAAAAAUUAUCCUAAAUGAUUUAGUGUUCAUCAAUUGGUUGACGAGAAAAAAUAAUUAAUUCACUCGGAUCUUGUAAAAAAUUACUAACCACUCAAUUAAUGACAUAUCAUUUGGAAUUAAAUUUGAAAUGUCUAACAUUACUCAUAUUCGUAAGCAUUAAUUACCUUUAUUUAUUUUUAUCAAACAACACUUGCAUUCUAUAUCAUAAUAACAUUUCUACAAUUAUACAUUACAAAUAUAUACAACAUACAAACAAGCAUACAAACAAGCAAACUAAUAGUUUCGACAAACAUUAUUACAAUCUUAUAUACAAGAGAAAAAAAAUACAUUAUUGCAUUAAACGACAUCAAGAUUGACAAGACAUAAUUAAAAUAUAUAAUCAUAUGGUACAGACUCAAUACAAAGAUAACUACUCAUCAAUCAACUUAACUCUCAGAAGAACAUCAUGUAAUUUUCAGUAUAAAGUUUUAGCCACUAGGAACACCCCUAACCUGGGGACGUAAAUAUAUAUGUUAAGGCUGAAACAAAGAUUUUAUUUUGAGGAGGGAAGUCCUAAAUUUUAAGUCUACUAUAAUAUACAAUCAGUACAAUUGAGGGGUCAACAAUAAGGAUCAUAAUACAAAAACUAUAAACCAAGGGGGGUUGCAUAUAUAUAUUAAGGCUGAAACAAAGAUUUUAGUUUGAGGAGGGAAGUCCUAAAUUUAAGUCUACUAUAAUAUACAAUCACUACAAUUGAGGGGCCAACAAUAAGGAUCAUAGUACAAAAACUACAAACCAAGGGGGGCCUAGACGUAAACUAUACAUAGAAUUUGGUCAUGUUUUCAAUUUCAUCAUUAUAUAUUCUUAUUUUUUCAUUUUUGGAUGGGCCACCUCGUGCCUUUACUUUUUCCCGCCUCCGGGGUUAUAACCAUGUCUAUUCUUAUCACUUGGAGGGUACCCAGAUGUCAAAAUAUUCUCGGCAGACUCCGCCAGUACUCGGCUAAACUGCUGCGCAUUGUAGGCUGCGGCAUUUAAAGUCCUUCCGUUUGCAGCCAUGCAAGAGCUCACAAUCAUGAGAGCCAGAGCAAACCCUAGAAUCCUCGUUCUUCCACUCGUUUGAUCCAUCGUCACUGCUACAUAAUUUGAACAAAAUUCAAGUUUAAUGCAUGCAUGUGAGAAAAAAUUAACAGAUAUUUAGACCACAAGAAAAGAAUGAUACAAGUAGAAUUUUUAUUCUUUAUUAUUUAAUUAUAUUUUAAAAGGUAAAACGGGUGAGUAAAAUUUAAAUGAAUUUUUUAACUCUUUUUGAACUAGAAUAUAUAGCUAGGUAAAUGAAAUUACUUGAAACUACUCAAUGGAUACUUGAUGAUUUUUUAACUACUUACCCAAAUAGAGAUCAAGAGAAACGCGUUUGAUAAUGACGAUUUCGCAUGGAGGGAAGAAGAAUUAUAAAGUCUUUAUAUAGACGUGUU